AGGCCAGGGAGCUGGAGAGCCGAGAGGCGGAGCUGAGACGCCGCGACACCUGCUACAAGGAGCAACUGGGGUGCAUUGAGAAGAAGAAUUCUGAGAUCUAUAAACUGUCUUCACAGCAAUUCCAUGAGGCAGCUUCAAAAAUGGAGGGCAUGAUAAGGCCACGCAGGCUGGAGCCCGUGUGCUCAGGGCUGCAGGCCCAGAUCCUCCGCUGCUACCGCGACCACCUGCAGGAGGUGCUGCUGUGCUCCGAGCUGGUCAAGGCCUACCAGCACUGCGUGAGCGCCGCCCACAAGGGUUGAGGAGCAGCCAUCACUCCUGGCCCUGGCAGUGACUUGGAGCCCUGAAGAAGGGUCUGGUGAUGGAACCACAGUCCACAGACCCCUGGGCCAC